UCAGCACAAGUAACAAGCAACAAGAAAUCUCAUCACUUUUGUUCUUGCUUUUUUCCAUUUUUUGCUGAUACUCAGUAAUCCAGGGUUUUUCCACCUAUACUGAUUUGAAGUGCAAUUUUGUUUUCAUUCAAGACCUUGGUUCACAAAAAAAAAAAAACCUUUACUUUUCUAAGAUCUUUGUUAUUUGUGACUAUAUAGAUUAGAUUGCAGCAGAAAAUAAUUAGAAUGCCACAAAAAGAGCUAAUCAAUUGAUACUCCUCGAGCAUAGCUUAAAGUAUUGGGUGCAUUUUAGUUUAGUUUUGUGUAUGAUCAGCAUGAUGCCACUGCAAGUAAGGGUAUGAUCAUAUUUGAAUUGUGUGUUUGCUUUUGUAAAAAUUUUGGUACUACUAGAUUUGUUAUUCUCUAUUGCACAUAACUUUUAAUACCAUUCUAUAGUUGUCACUAUACUGUAAAAGUAUGAUAGCUGAAUUGGUUUCAAAGUAUUAUUUCUUUUAUAACAUAUUAAGCACCUGUUUCCUCUUCCUCUUUUUUUUUUGUUUUUUUUUUUUGCUUUCUCUAAUAACUACUUACUUGCAUUAUUAUUCAUUAUUGACAGGUGAUACCCACAAUGGCAAUCGUUUGAAUACGAGAUAUCCAGCCUUUACAGACUGACCUACAAAUCAAAGGGCGAGUCUGCAAGGUGUGGAGAGUGAAGAAAUACAGACCCGUUCCUAGAAACAAUGGUCUUCAGUUUGUUUUAGUUAAUGAGAAGAACGAGGGAAUCCAAGGAUCUUUUCUAGAAGCAUACUACACCACAAUAAGGACUGUGGGAAAGGAAAGCAAAUCACUUCUACACACAAAAAGACAUUGAUCAGGUCCGGGCCGAGUGGGCAAAGUAUGUCAGCCAAUUUCAACAAAGCUAGUGUAUUGAGAAGAUUCUAAUUUUGGACAUGCAUCAUCUAUAACCCAUAUUAACUAGUUAUGCAGUUGGUCUGAGUAUCUAUUUUUGGCCUGCAAGUACAGUUUAUGAUCAGUAGUAUGAGAUAUCAAUGUUUUUUGGGUUACAUUUGUUUAUCAUGCCAACUGCUAUGGGUUAUUGAAGUGAUGUUUAUUAAGUUUAGCUCCAUGAUGGAUGUAUGUAUAGCUGCAGGAACAGAUUGAUCAAAUAUUAGUAUUUUUGUGAAUGGAUUUCAUAUUUGAUGAAUG